AAAGCUGGCUUCUUUCUCUGUCUUCUUAAGUGAAUCGCCAUCUGCUCUAACAUUCUCUGCCGCCGCCGCUGCCUCCUCCUUGUCCCUGCACCUCUGCCAUAGCCCCUCCAAGCCUUUCCUCCCUCUUUUCCUCCCUCUGCCCAACAUCAAGUGGGUGAAAUUUACAAAUUGAGUUAUAUUUUGGUCUCCUUUCUGUCGUUUCCUAUCUAUCUUGAAUUAUGCCUCCCGCUUUUACCUUUGCUGCCGCUUCCAUUGCCGUCACCACCAUCGCCGUCGCAUCCUCUCGUCCUCACUCUCCUUCCGCUCCCUCAAUUCUCAAUUCUCGACAAAUUUAGGGUUUAUGAUGGUCUCUCAGUUUGCGACUUAAAGGUGCAAAACAUGUUGUAUAUGGCUUGAUGUUUGUUUGGUGUCGAUAGACAACUAGACCCUUAAAUAUAGCAGCAAGUUGUGAGAAUCUAUGAUCUUCAGCAUUCUUUGCAAAAGGUCGAAGAAGCUCUCUUGUAGGGACUGGAGCAACUUCACUUGUACAACCAUGAACCAUGUUUUUGUUCAAAACUGUUCUUGAAGUUUUGGGUCAAACGUGUCUGCAUGAAAAAGGCAUGUUA